UAGGGAAUCUUCGGCAAUGGGGGCAACCCUGACCGAGCAACGCCGCGUGAGUGAAGAAGGUUUUCGGAUCGUAAAGCUCUGUUGUAAGAGAAGAACGUGUGUGAGAGUGGAAAGUUCACACAGUGACGGUAACUUACCAGAAAGGGACGGCUAACUACGUGCCAGCAGCCGCAGUAAUACGUAGGUCCCGAGCGUUGUCCGGAUUUAUUGGGCGUAAAGCGAGCGCAGGCGGUUUAAUAAGUCUGAAGUUAAAGGCAGUGGCUUAACCAUUGUUCGCUUUGGAAACUGUUAAACUUGAGUGCAGAAGGGGAGAGUGGAAUUCCAUGUGUGGCGGUGAGAUGCGUAGAUAUAUGGAGGAACACCGGUGGCGAAAGCGGCUCUCUAGUCUGUAACUGACGCUGAGGCUCGAAAGCGUGGGGAGCAAACAGG
rnacentral:rRNA from 1 species